rnacentral:rRNA from 1 species
CCUACGGGAGGCAGCAGUGAGGAAUAUUGGUCAAUGGCCGGAAGGCUGAACCAGCCAAGCCGCGUGAAGGACGAAGGUGCCAAGCGUUGUAAACUUCUUUUGUCAAGGGACAAAAUCAGGCUCGAGAGCCUGACCGAGGGUACUUGAAGAAAAAGCAUCGGCUAACUCCGUGCCAGCAGCCGCGGUAAUACGGAGGAUGCGAGCGUUAUCCGGAUUUAUUGGGUUUAAAGGGUGCGUAGGCGGCCUGUUAAGUCAGCGGUAAAAGCCCGGGGCUCAACCCCGGCGAGCCGUUGAAACUGGCUGGCUUGAGAGGUCGGGAGGUAGGCGGAAUGCGUGGUGUAGCGGUGAAAUGCUUAGAUAUUGCGCAGAACUCCGAUUGCGAAGGCAGCAUACCGGCGGCGAUCUGACGCUGAGGCACGAAAGCGUGGGUAUCGAACAGGAUUAGAUACCCUUGUAGUC